CCGAGUUUACAACUCCCAAACCCCUGUGAACAUACCUACUUGUUGCCUCGGCGGAUCAGCCCGCGCCCCGUAAAACGGGACGGCCCGCCAGAGGACCCCUAAACUCUGUUUCUUAGUGGAACUUCUGAGUAAAACAAUAAAUAAAUCA
rnacentral:misc_RNA from 1 species